rnacentral:ribozyme from 11 species
UGAGAGCGACAGAGAGCAAAAAAGAAACAACUUGGAAGGGAAGGUUCUGUUUGUCUUUCUGGUUUUGUGCCGGUGUUCCUCUCUGUCUGUCUUUCUUUCUUUCUUUUCUUUCUUUCUUCGUGUCUUUUGUCUUUUGGCGUGAAGGCGAUGCGGAGCGAGGGAUGGCGAAAAUGGUGUUGAGACGAAAAUUAAAUUAAA